rnacentral:rRNA from 1 species
UACGUAGGUGGCAAGCGUUGUCCGGAUUUAUUGGGCGUAAAGCGCGCGCAGGUGGUGCGGUGCGUCCGCCGUGAAAUCUCCCGGCUCAACUGGGAGGGGGCGGCGGAGACGGCCGGACUGGAGGCACUCAGAGGCUGGUGGAAUUCCCGGUGUAGUGGUGAAAUGCGUAGAGAUCGGGAGGAACACCUGUGGCGAAGGCGGCCAGCUGGGGGUGACCUGACGCUGAGGCGCGAAAGCGUGGGGAGCGAACCGG